rnacentral:rRNA from 1 species
UGAGGAAUAUUGGUCAAUGGGCGGAAGCCUGAACCAGCCAAGUAGCGUGCAGGAUGACGGCCCUAUGGGUUGUAAACUGCUUUUAUGCGGGGAUAACCGGGGCCACGCGUGGCCCCCUGCAGGUACCGCAUGAAUAAGGACCGGCUAAUUCCGUGCCAGCAGCCGCGGUAAUACGGAAGGUCCGGGCGUUAUCCGGAUUCAUUGGGUUUAAAGGGAGCGUAGGCCGUGGAUUAAGCGUGUUGUGAAAUGUAGGCGCUCAACGUCUGACUUGCAGCGCGAACUGGUCCACUUGAGUGUGCGCGACGCAGGCGGAAUUCGUGGUGUAGCGGUGAAAUGCUUAGAUAUCACGAGGAACCCCGAUUGCGAAGGCAGCUUGCGGGAGCACCACUGACGCUGAGGCUCGAAGGUGCGGGUAUCGAACAGGAUUAGAUACCCUGGUAGUCCGCACGGUAAACGAUGGAUGCCCGUUCUCCGGCUUUUUUUUGUCGGGGGACCGAGCGAAAGCAUUGAGCAUCCCACCUGGGGAGUACGCCGGCAACGGUG